CCCAACCGUCCCCCAUCUCUCUCUCUCCAUCUUCAAACCUUCAAACUCUUGUUCUUCAUGUUCAUCACUAUUUCUAACAACCUUCAAGUGGUGUGAAGAUUCAAGGGUGAUCUCAAGGUGUUCUCUAGUGAUUCAAGCUUCCCAUCAUCUUCACUAGAAUUUCUACCCUAGCUUUGUGCUAGUAGUUGUCGUGUAGCGGACAGGGUUUGAGAUUCGAUUCAAGACGCACUACUGUGAGUACAUAGACCCCUCUUUUACUGUUUUCCAAAUGUUUUGGGGUGAAACACAUUACAUUGUUUACCUUACAUUUCUGCUAUGUAUAUUGACUGAGCAUGCUAGCACAUUGAUUUACAUGACUUUUCUGCUUUGUAUGUUGACUUAG
rnacentral:lncRNA from 1 species